UACAGAGGGUGCAAGCGUUAUUCGGAAUUACUGGGCGUAAAGCGCGCGUAGGUGGUUUGUUAAGUCGGAUGUGAAAUCCCCGGGCUCAACCUGGGAACUGCAUCCAAAACUGGCAAGCUAGAGUAUGGUAGAGGGUAGUGGAAUUUCCUGUGUAGCGGUGAAAUGCGUAGAUAUAGGAAGGAACACCAGUGGCGAAGGCGACCACCUGGACUGAUACUGACACUGAGGUGCGAAAGCGUGGGGAGCAAACAGG
rnacentral:rRNA from 1 species